GACAGAGGGUGCGAACGUUGUUCGGAAUUACUGGGCGUAAAGCGCGUGUAGGCGGCAGCGUGUGUCGGGCGUGAAAUCCCACGGCUCAACCGUGGAAGUGCACUCGAAACUGCGCAGCUAGAGUCCUGGAGAGGAAGGUGGAAUGCUUGGUGUAGAGGUGAAAUUCGUAGAUAUCAAGCGGAACACCGGUGGCGAAGGCGGCCUUCUGGACAGUGACUGACGCUGAGACGCGAAAGCGUGGGGAGCAAACAGGAUUAGAAACCCCCGUAGUCC
rnacentral:rRNA from 1 species